ensembl:lincRNA
AAUAGGGAUACCUAAAGAAAAAUGGAUAGACUAUAUCAGUUUUUCACCUCACCACAUUAAAUAAGAAGAAUCACUAAAAUGAAUAUUGUAUUUCAGGCCCAAGAAAUCUUCCAGUCAUGCCGUUGACUCUUUAUUGUGGAUAUUACAAAUGUUUUGACACAUCUUCAGGGUCAGUUUACAAAGAAAACGGAUUCUGCAUCCUCCUCAAAGGUAACUUUGAAGUCAAUGAGGCAAAUGGAUGAAAGAGAGGAGGGAAUGAGACCAUGGUAACGAACCUGCUGAUUUUACAAAUAUGGCAGCUAUGCCUCAGCAAAUUAUAAGCAAUAAUGAAUUAGUUAAUUUUCUUCUGUGAAAGCUGCUAUGGUAAGAUUAUUAAAUUACUGUAUUUCUACUUAGUGAAAGUAGCUACCAGUCAGUAAAUUAGGAUUUCUAAGACUCUUUGGGGAAAGAGAUUAUUACUAUUAUCCAUGUUUAUCAUUAUUUUGGCCCUAACAGAAUUAAAAUGUUUAUAGUACCUGUUAAAAUACGAUAU